rnacentral:rRNA from 1 species
CGUAGGGGAACCGUGCCCCAUAGUCUGGGAUACCACUUGGAAACAGGUGCUAAUACCGGAUAAGAAAGCAGAUCGCAUGAUCAGCUUUUAAAAGGCGGCGUAAGCUGUCGCUAUGGGAUGGCCCCGCGGUGCAUUAGCUAGUUGGUAAGGUAAAGGCUUACCAAGGCGAUGAUGCAUAGCCGAGUUGAGAGACUGAUCGGCCACAUUGGGACUGAGACACGGCCCAA